UCUGACAUCAGGUCGUUUUAAAGAUGUAUAAAACAAGCCUUUGCUGUGACAGUGAAGCUGUGUUGUUUUCGUUGAAACGGAAACACGUGUGUUCCCUGUGCACAGUUCCAGGGUGCGUGCUAGUUCAGAUCACUCAGAAGCCUUCAAGGUCAUCUGAGUGCUUUGGGAGGACAAGGGACAAAAGGAGGGUGUUAAAGUACCCUGUAAUGGCACACCAUUCAUUAUUCUUGGUUUUGAUGUCAGAGAAUGUCACUUUGGGCCAGACAGAAAUACAAUGAAAAAGAAGAAGUACCAAAUGGAGAAGACCAUAGAAGCAGACCAAGAUCAUUCUUAUACACAAAAGAGCAGGACUUUGGUACAAAACACAAAAAACUUGAUUGCCCUGCCAGAAUUUAUAUGAAAAAGAUAUGUAAAUUUCCUGAUUAUAAGGUA